UUGCUUUGGCGGCACAUAUACUAAAAUUGGAACCAUACAGAGAAGAUUAGCAUGGCCCCUGUGCAAGGAUGACAUGCAAAUUUGAGAAGUGUUCCAUAUUUUU
rnacentral:snRNA from 1 species